rnacentral:rRNA from 1 species
CGUCAGCUCGUGUCGUGAGAUGUUGGGUUAAGUCCCGCAACGAGCGCAACCCUUAUUGCUAGUUACCAUCAUUAAAGUUGGGGGACUCUAGCGAGACUGCCAGUGAUAAACUGGAGGAAGGUGGGGAUGACGUCAAAUCAUCAUGCCCCUUAUGACCUGGGCUACAAACGUGAUACAAUGGCUGAAACAAAGGGCAGCGAAGCAGUGAUGUGGAGCGAAACCCAAAAAAGCAGUCUCAGUUCGGAUUGAAGUCUGCAACUCGACUUCAUGAAGUUGGAAUCGCUAGUAAUCGUAGAUCAGAACGCUACGGUGAAUACGUUCUCGGGGUUU